ACUACGGGAGGCAGCAGUGAGGAAUAUUGGUCAAUGGCCGGAAGGCUGAACCAGCCAUGCCGCGUGAAGGUCAGUGCCCUAUGGGCGUUAAACUUCUUUUGUGCGGGAGCAAUAAUGGUCACGUGUGGCCAGACGAGAGUACCGUACGAAUAAGCAUCGGCUAACUCCGUGCCAGCAGCCGCGGUAAUACGGGGGAUGCAAGCGUUAUCCGGAUUUAUGUGGUUUAAAGGGUGCGUAUGCUGUGAGGUAAGUCAGCGGUGAAAUGCCCCCGCGCCACGGGGUGAAGUGCCAUUGAUACUGCCUUGCUGGAAUGCGGAUGCCGUGGGAGGAAUGUGUGGUGUAGCGGUGAAAUGCAUAGAUAUCACACAGAACACCGAUUGCGAAGGCAUCUCACGAAUCCGCGAUUGACGCUGAUGCACGAAAGCGUGGGUAUCAAACAGGAGUAGAUACCCUAGUAGUC
rnacentral:rRNA from 1 species